rnacentral:lncRNA from 1 species
UAUCUAGAUCUCAGAUUUCAACUUCCGUAUAAAAAUCACGAGAAAGUGUCGAUCGAUGAUUCUUAAAGAAAUAUCGAUCGAUACACCUUUCAAAAUAUCGAUCGACAAAACGAUUGUCACGUCGAUCGAUGCUUCUUCUAGAAAGCUUUACGAGUGGGUUUGAUUAGUGUUCUCUAAUCGACUAAACCAAAUUUCGUGUGUAUCUAGUCAGUUAGAUCAUACUUGUUCAGUUUCAGGUAUUGGGUCAAGCUAUUACUUGUCUCAAUUAAUGCUAGGAUCUUAGUUAAAGGUUGAUCAAUCCUAAACUUAGCAUUAAGAGCAACUAAAUGGAGAACUAUAUUUUAAACACCCUAGCAACAGUUCAUGUUAGCAAUACAUAAACCUAU